rnacentral:tRNA from 1 species
AAGUUGUAGGUAAAUUUUGUUUUUUUAACUUUAUAUUUUUAAUUUAAAUAAUAAAGGUUCAAAUCCUUUACUCUUUU